AGAGUUUGAUCCUGGCUCAGGACGAACGCUGGCGGUGUGCUUCACACAUGCAAGUCGAACGGGGUAGCAAUACCCAGUGGCGGACGGGUGAGUAACGCGUAGAAAUCUGCCUUGAGAUGGGGGAUAACAGUCCGAAAGGAUUGCUAAUACCGCAUAUGUGUGCGCUCGGACACGAGUGUACAUGAAAGGAGUAAUCCGUCUCAAGAUGAGUCUGCGUCCGAUUAGCUAGUUGGUAGGGUAAAGGCCUACCAAGGCGACGAUCGGUAGCUGGUCUGAGAGGAUGAUCAGCCACAAUGGGACUGAGACACGGCCCAUACUCCUACGGGAGGCAGCAGUGGGGAAUUUUGUGCAAUGGGGGAAACCCUGACACAGCGACACCGCGUGAACGAAGAAGCCCUUUGGGGUGUAAAGUUCUGUCGGCUGGAACGAAAAAAAUGACGGUACCAGCAAAGGAAGCAUCGGCUAACUACGUGCCAGCAGCCGCGGUAAGACGUAGGAUGCAAGCGUUGUCCGGAUUUAUUGGGCGUAAAGAGUUCGUAGGCGGUUUGUUAAGUCUGAUGUUAAAGAUCGGGGCUCAACCUCGGGAGUGCAUUGGAUACUGGCAGACUGGAGUGUGGUAGAGGUUAGUGGAAUUCCCAGUGUAGCGGUGAAAUGCGUAGAUAUUGGGAAGAACACCAGUGGCGUAGGCGACUAACUGGGCCAUAACUGACGCUGAGGAACGAAAGCCAGGGGAGCGAAUGGGAUUAGAUACCCUGGUAGUCC
rnacentral:rRNA from 1 species